rnacentral:misc_RNA from 1 species
GAUGAAGAACGUAGUGAAAUGCGAUAAGUAAUGUGAAUUGCAGAAUUCAGUGAAUCAUCGAAUCUUUGAACGCACAUUGCGCCCGCCAGUAUUCUGGCGGGCAUGCCUGUUCGAGCGUCAUUUCAACCCUCAGGCCCCCAGUGCCUGGUGUUGGGGAUCGGCCCAGCCUUCCUGUAAGGCCGCCGGCCCCGAAAUCUAGUGGCGGUCUCGCUGCAGUCCUCCUCUGCGUAGUAGCACAACCUCGCAGUUGGAACGCGGCGGUGGCCAUGCCGUUAAACACCCCACUUCUGAAAGUUGACCUCGGAUCAGGUAGGAAUACCCGCUGAACUUAAGCAUAUCAAUAAGCGGAGGA